AAAGAUUUAAAAAAAAGACCCUCCAACGGUCACAAAGAGAAAAGGAAAAUAAAAAAGGAACAAAGGACCACUAACGGCACACCACUACCAAUGUCUCUCUGGUCACUAAAAAACAAAGAAAGAAAAAACUCUCCAAUAAAAAAAUGCUACCUCUCUUCUCUCUCUAGCUCACUCACCUCACUCCUCAAUAAUUCUCUCUCUGCUGGAAAAAGCGAAAAAAAAGAAGAGAAAAAGAAUAAAAGAGGCACAAACACUCCACUGACUCCAAAAAAAAACUAGCCUACUCUCUCUCUGCUGAGCAUAAAACGAAA
rnacentral:lncRNA from 1 species